rnacentral:lncRNA from 10 species
GCUGGGUUACAUCUUUUCCCCUCUUCCACGCUGGGAUUCUUUUUUUUUUUUUUUUUUUUUUUUGAGACAGAGUCUCGCUCUGUCGCCCAGGCUGGAGUGCAGUGGUGCGAUCUCGGCUCACUGCAAACUCCGCCUCCCAGGUUCAAGCAAUUCUCCUGCCUCAGCCUCCGGAGUAGCUGGGAUUACAGGCACCCACCCCCAUGCCCGGCUAAUUUUUGUAUUUUUAGUAGAGACAGGGUUUCGCCAUGUUGGCCAAGCUAGUCUCAAACUCCUGACCUCAGGUGAUCCGCCUGCCUUGGCCUCCCAAAGUGCGGGGAUUACAAGCAUGAGCCACCGUGCCCGGCCUGGAAAUUGUUUUUUUUUUUAAACCCUCAGGUGAUUCUGACUCUCCUGGAACCUGAGAACCACCAGUCUACGGGAACAGAGCCCUGCUUUGGGUCAGACGGGGUUUCGCCGGGCUGGUCUCCGCUCCUGACCGCGAGUGAUCCGCCGGCCUCGGCCUCCCGAGGUGCCGGGAUUGCAGAUGGAGUCUCGUUCACUCGGUGCUCAAUGGUGCCCAGGCUGGAGUGCAGUGGCGUGAUCUCGGCUCGCUACAACCACCUCCCAGCCGCCUGCCUUGGCCUCCCGAAGAGCCGAGAUUGCAGCCUCUGCCCGGCCGCCACCCCGUCUGGGAAGUGAGGAGCGUCUCUGCUUGGCCGCCCAUCGUCUGGGAUAUGAGGAGCCCCUCUGCCUGGCUGCCCAGUCUGGAGGGUGAGGAGUGUCUCUGCCCGGCCGCCAUCCCAUCUAGGAAGCGAGGAGCGCCUCUUCCCCGCCG